rnacentral:rRNA from 1 species
GAUCACCUACUCGAGUGCGAUUUUGUGGGUAUGUUAGAGCUUAAAAACCUUCAUGCUUACAAAUUGGUGCUCUUUGGGCGUACUUUCUCGUAUGGUAGGUUAACACCAAUUUCGAUCGUUAUAAAAUGACUGGAGGAAUGUAGCUUCGAUCUCGGUUGAAGUGUUAUAGCCUUUGGUAGAUGUAAUGAUUGGGAUUGAGGAUUGCAACGGAUACCCUCUGGGCUAUUCGUCUGAUCUCUGGAAGUUACCUUGGUGUCGAAAGCGUGCUUACGAUAUUAAGGUUGACGGCCAAUAGGUUAGAACGUAAUUAAAUUCGUUAAGGAUGUUGACGUA